GGGUAGGUGUCCGAGUGGUUUAAGGAACCUGACUGUAAAUCAGGCGGCUCUGCCAUCGCUGGUUCGAAUCCAGCCCUGCCCA
rnacentral:tRNA from 1 species